GGGAUCAUUAAAGAGUUUUAUAACUCCCAAACCCAUGUGAACAUACUUUACGUUGCCUCGGCAGGUCGCGCCUACCCCGUAGCCUCCUACCCUGUAGGACCUACCCGGUAGACGCGGGUAAGCCUGCCGGCGGCCCAAGAAACUCUGCUUAGUAUUGAAUUCUGAAUCCAUAACUAAAUAAGUUAAAACUUUCAACAACGGAUCUCUUGGUUCUGGCAUCGAUGAAGAACGCAGCGAAAUGCGAUAAGUAAUGUGAAUUGCAGAAUUCAGUGAAUCAUCGAAUCUUUGAACGCACAUUGCGCCCAUUAGUAUUCUAGUGGGCAUGCCUGUUCGAGCGUCAUUUCAACCCUUAAGCCUCUGUUGCUUAGUGUUGGGAGCCUACGGCACCCGUAGCUCCUCAAAGUUAGUGGCGGAGUCGGUUCACACUCUAGACGUAGUAAUUUUUUCUCGCCUAUCAGUUGGACCGGUCCCCUGCCGUAAAACACCCCAAUUUCUAAAGGUUGACCUCGGAUCAGGUAGGAAUACCCGCUGAACUUA
rnacentral:rRNA from 1 species